rnacentral:lncRNA from 1 species
UAUACUUCUUCUGCCAUUGAUCAAUUUACAAUAUUUGUAUUACUUAAUUGAAAAGUAAGUAAGACACUUAUGGUUUGGGGUUCUAGUUUCUAAGAUACAACACACACACAAGGAUUAACAUACGCUUCAAUCCGUUAUUCAGCUUGAUAUCCUUUGCAUUUUUCAGUUUAUAGUUUGCUCAAUUAACAACCUUUAGUACUACAGCAUAUUACAAUCUGAACAUUAAUUACUUAGAAAAUAAUUUUAUCGUUAGUUGAAGAGGAUAUUUUUGGAGCCACAUUUGAAAUUCAAUAUAUAGCUGACGAUUUUUUUUUUUUUUGCGGGUUUUACUUUGCACCUUUUUAUUGUCAAUUUUGUGAUAAGAAUUUUUUCUUAGGG